rnacentral:rRNA from 1 species
UACGUAGGUGGCAAGCGUUGUCCGGAUUUACUGGGCGUAAAGAGCGCGCAGGCGGUCGUUCAAGUCGCGUGUGAAAGCCCCCGGCUCAACUGGGGAGGGUCACGCGAUACUGAUCGACUCGAAGGCAGGAGAGGGAAGUGGAAUUCCCGGUGUAGUGGUGAAAUGCGUAGAUAUCGGGAGGAACACCAGUGGCGAAAGCGGCGUGCUGGAUCCCUUCUGACGCUGAGGCGCGAAAGCCAGGGGAGCGAACGGGG